rnacentral:rRNA from 1 species
GUGAGGAAUAUUGGUCAAUGGACGAGAGUCUGAACCAGCCAAGUCGCGUGAAGGAAGACGGUUCUAUGAAUUGUAAACUUCUUUUGUGCAGGAAUAAAGUGGGUUACGUGUAACCUUUUGUAUGUACUGUACGAAUAAGGAUCGGCUAACUCCGUGCCAGCAGCCGCGGUAAUACGGAGGAUCGGAGCGUUAUCCGGAUUUAUUGGGUUUAAAGGGUGCGUAGGUGGAUUGAUAAGUCAGCGGUGAAAGUUUGCAGCUUAACGGUAAAAUUGCCGUUGAAACUGUCGGUCUUGAGUGCAAAUGAGGUAGGCGGAAUGUGUUGUGUAGCGGUGAAAUGCUUUGAUAUAACACAGAACUCCGAUUGCGAAGGCAGCUUACUGGGAUGCAACUGACACUGAUGCACGAAAGCGUGGGUAUCAAACAGGAUUGGAUACCCUUGUAGUCC